UACGGAGGGGACUAGCGUUGUUCGGAAUUACUGGGCGUAAAGCGCACGUAGGCGGAUUUGUAAGUCAGGGGUGAAAUCCCGGGGCUCAACCUCGGAACUGCCUUUGAUACUGCAAAUCUCGAGUCCGGAAGAGGUGAGUGGAAUUCCUAGUGUAGAGGUGAAAUUCGUAGAUAUUAGGAAGAACACCAGUGGCGAAGGCGGCUCACUGGUCCGGUACUGACGCUCAGGCACGAAAGCGUGGGGAGCAAACAGG
rnacentral:rRNA from 1 species